GAAUGCCGCGGUGAAUACGUUCCCGGGUCUUGUACACACCGCCCGUCACACCAUGGGAGUCAGUAACGCCCGAAGUCAGUGACCGAACCGAGAGGACGGAGCUGCCGAAGGCGGGACGGAUAACUGGGGUGAAGUCGUAACAAGGUACC
rnacentral:rRNA from 1 species